GACGAACGCUGGCGGCGUGCCUAAUACAUGCAAGUCGAACGAACUCUGGUAUUGAUUGGUGCUUGCAUCAUGAUUUACAUUUGAGUGAGUGGCGAACUGGUGAGUAACACGUGGGAAACCUGCCCAGAAGCGGGGGAUAACACCUGGAAACAGAUGCUAAUACCGCAUAACAACUUGGACCGCAUGGUCCGAGUUUGAAAGAUGGCUUCGGCUAUCACUUUUGGAUGGUCCCGCGGCGUAUUAGCUAGAUGGUGAGGUAACGGCUCACCAUGGCAAUGAUACGUAGCCGACCUGAGAGGGUAAUCGGCCACAUUGGGACUGAGACACGGCCCAAACUCUACGGGAGGCAGCAGUAGGGAAUCUUCCACAAUGGACGAAAGUCUGAUGGAGCAACGCCGCGUGAGUGAAGAAGGGUUUCGGCUCGUAAAACUCUGUUGUUAAAGAAGAACAUAUCUGAGAGUAACUGUUCAGGUAUUGACGGUAUUUAACCAGAAAGCCACGGCUAACUACGUGCCAGCAGCCGCGGUAAUACGUAGGUGGCAAGCGUUGUCCGGAUUUAUUGGGCGUAAAGCGAGCGCAGGCGGUUUUUUAAGUCUGAUGUGAAAUCUUUCGGCUCAACCGAAGAAGUGCAUCGGAAACUGGGAAACUUGAGUGCAGAAGAGGACAGUGGAACUCCAUGUGUAGCGGUGAAAUGCGUAGAUAUAUGGAAGAACACCAGUGGCGAAGGCGGCUGUCUGGUCUGUAACUGACGCUGAGGCUCGAAAGUAUGGGUAGCAAACAGGAUUAGAUACCCUGGUAGUCCAUACCGUAAACGAUGAAUGCUAAGUGUUGGAGGGUUUCCGCCCUUCAGUGCUGCNAGCUAACGCAUUAAGCAUUCCGCCUGGGGAGUACGGCCGCAAGGCUGAAACUCAAAGGAAUUGACGGGGGCCCGCACAAGCGGUGGAGCAUGUGGUUUAAUUCGAAGCUACGCGAAGAACCUUACCAGGUCUUGACAUCNUAUGCAAAUCUAAGAGAUUAGACGUUCCUUCGGGGNACAUGGANUGACAGGUGGUGCAUGGUCGUCGUCAGCUCGUGUCGUGAGAUGUUGGGUUAAGUCCCGCAACGAGCGCAACCCUUGUUACUAGUUGCCAGCAUUAAGUUGGGCACUCUAGUGAGACUGCCGGUGACAAACCGGAGGAAGGUGGGGACGACGUCAGAUCAUCAUGCCCCUUAUGACCUUGGCUGAAAAACUGAGGAAAGGGGAGGUUAAU
rnacentral:rRNA from 1 species